AUUGAACGCUGGCGGCAGGCCUAACACAUGCAAGUCGAACGGUAACAGGAAGAAGCUUGCUUCUUUGCUGACGAGUGGCGGACGGGUGAGUAAUGUCUGGGAAACUUCCUGAUGGAGGGGGAUAACUACUGGAAACGGUAGCUAAUACCGCAUAACGUCUCAAGACCAAAAAGGGGGACCUUCGGGCCUCUUGCCAUCGGAUGUGCCCAGAUGGGAUUAGCUAGUAGGUGGGGGAAGGGCUCACCUAGUCGACGAUCCCUAGCUGGUCUGGGAGGGUGACCAGCCGCACUGGAACUGGGACGCGGUCCAGACUCCUACUGGAGGCAGCAGUGGGGAAUAUUGCACAUUGGGCGCAAGCCUGAUGCAGCCAUGCCGCGUGUAUGAAGAAGGCCUUCGGGUUGUAAAGUACUUUCAGCGGGGAGGAAGGGAGUAAAGUUAAUACCUUUGCUCAUUGACGUUACCCGCAGAAGAAGCACCGGCUAACUCCGUG
rnacentral:rRNA from 1 species